GGUGACUUGGUAGUUUCUUACCUUGGAUCUUAUGUCUUAAAACUGGGUAUCUGCUGAUGCAAGGAAAGGGCCUUGAAUCUCUUGGACCUAGACUUCCAGGUAGCUUAAGCAGAUGGACAUGGAUGCUGGGAACCGGACUUGGAUCUUCUGCAAGAGGAUGCUUUUAACUGCUGAGCCAUCUCUCCAGUCCCUAGAAUUUCUUUUCAAUUAAAUUUUUAAAAAAUUAUUACUGUGUGUAUAUAUGUUAUUGAAGUAACUGGUUCCCAGCAUCCAUGUUCAACAAGAAAUCAUCCUCACUCUUUGAAUUAAACAGUGAUCACUUCUAAAAUACCUUCUACCUGGGAAAGCUUUUUCUUUUAAUUUAGAAUUUGAAUCAUUUAAGUAAGCAUUAUGUACUACUGUGAAAUCAUUUAAAAUCAUUUUAGAUUAAAUAGGCCGUUAAAUUUAAGAUAAUCAUUUUUAUUGCAGGAUAAAAUAAGUGUAAAUUUCUUAUUGAAUAAUUGAAAACAGUUGCACAAAAAUGAAGUCAGUCUAACGUGCUUGUACAAAUGCAUUUAUGCCUUAGUAAUUUACAGUGGUUACAUGAGUUGCCAUUCUUUCUUAGUGGAUUAGGCAAUUAUCAUUUAAAAUAGAAAUUAAGAUUAUAUCUAUCUGUUCAUAAUUCUUACUACUAAAUUGUAUUUAUGUAUCACUUCUGCAUAAAAAUAGCAUCUCAUCCAUUUUCUUGACUUUUGUUAAAUAUUUAAUAGGAUCUGUUAAAUGUUUUAAAUAUCACUGGAUGGAAGGGGCAAAUGAAAUGUAAGUACCUAAGGCCUGGAGAGAUAGCUCAUUGGUUAAGAGAACUUGUUUUUUCAGAGGACCAAAUUCGAUUCCCGGCAGUCAUACGGCAGCUCACAACAAUCUCGCAACUUCAGUUUUAGGGAAUUUGAUGCCCUCCUCUGACCUCUGGGUGCAUCAAGCACACAGAUAUACCUGCAAGCAAAACACCCAUACACAUAAAGUAAUACGUACACACACACAUACAUACAUACACACACACACAUACAUACAUACAUACAUACAUACAUACAUACAUACGUUCCCAAAGACCACUUUUGUUUAAAUUCUUAAUAUGCUGAAAAUUGGAUUUUGUGAUAGUAAGUUUUAAAUUUUAGGACUUAUGCCAUCGGCAUUUUAAGUAUUAUAAAAAAAAAACUAAGAGAUCAUGAAAUUAGAUUUUAUUCAAUUUUGUUGUGAUCAUUAAUUUGCCAUUGUAGAUUCGUUUUUCUUUGUAUAUAAAAAUUUACCUUGAAUCUUGAAGUCAUGGUAUUUAAUUAAAACUGAAGGUAUUUUUUCUCCUUAAUUUCUAUAUAAAAUUAAGGAAAAUGUUAUUUAAAACAAUUUCUGUUGUGAUUAAUAUGGCUACUGAACACAGAAAUGAUGAACUGUAAGUGUGAAGUUGAUGUUAACUGAAAAUGUAGAACAGUAAUUAGUUCUUCUUUAGUGUCUAGUGAAUGAUGCCUUAGAGUAGUGGAAUACUGAAGAUCUGUGGGAUUUCCUCUUUGCUAAUUCUAUCCAGUGUAUUUUUAAGUAGAGAAAUGUUUUAUUUGUUCUCAUAUUUAUAAAAUGCAUCUGGAAGAAUAAAUUCACAUCUGGUCCAUGGAUUUCCUCCAUGGAGAUGUUCCAAAUUCAGUGUCAAGAUUAGAGCUUGUACUCAUAGGGUUUGCAGAAUCUUGUGUGGAAUUUGAAAUAUUUUGUUUGGAAGUAGUUGGGGGAAACAAUUGAUUCAGAUGUUUUUGUUGAGUUCUAAUUUUAGAUGUAUUUCUCCCUCAUUAAAAUUAAAAGCAUUCUGUGCUUCAUAGUAUAAUCAAGGUACAUUUAUAAUAUUAUCAAGGUACAUGUAAACACUGUUUCCAUUUAACAAGCUGUUUUAGUUGACCAUUUUCAACCUUGUUUUAUGAUAGACAGAUAAAUUGUUAAACUUACCAGAAUGGAUCAUUAGUAACUAUAGCUAUUAGAGAUUUACUUCUCAUUCAUAGUAUGCAGUCUUGAUUAUUCUGUCAUACUUCCUUGACACCAUUUCAGUGCAGCAAUAGUCACUUUUUAAUUGUCGUGUUCUUAAUGUCUUCCCAAAUGAGUUAUAUUAUUUGAAUUCUCAGAAUAUAAUGAUUGAACAGAGUGUUUUUACUCUCUUACAAUGGCUGACAAACAUCUUUGUGCCUGAAUGGAAUCAGUCCCUGGAGUAACAUAAAGAAGAAGCAUUUAUGGGCUAAAUCCAAGAAGCAUGCAGACUAAAAAUAAUAUUGUCAAACUUUUAUGAAUUAUUUGUCUUAUGCAUUGAGAUUGCCAAAUAGAACUGCUAGUCAUGGGAGUUAAACUUGAUACACUGGAACAAAUGGGUGUUGCUUAGUAAAUCUCAUUAAAGAUGCUUGAUCUUUUUCAAAGAUUGUGUUUUGGUCCUUUAAUGUGAUAUAUUUUCCAUGGAAUAACACCAUAAAGUUUAUUAAUAGAUAAAUCUACAUUUAUUUGCUUUACUAUGUUUAACUUUAAACUUUCAGUGGAAUAGGAAACAUGCAUUUUGCUUAUGUAUUUAAUUUAGUAGUUUUUAAACAAUACAGCAGGAAAUUUUGUGUUUGAGCAGAUUUUCCAGUGCAUUAUUAAAUACUUACUACUAAGAGUCUGGGAAGAGGCAGUC